CUGGCUCAGGAUGAACGCUGGCGGCGUGCUUAACACAUGCAAGUCGAACGAAGCACUUUAUUACGAUCUCUUCGGAGUGACGAUUAAGUGACUGAGUGGCGGACGGGU
rnacentral:rRNA from 1 species